rnacentral:lncRNA from 1 species
UUAGUUUCAGAUUUAACGACUAUGUCGUAUUUACGGUACAUCUUGAAUUAUAAUUAUCAAAGUGUUAAAACGCUAAGCACAAUAUAUCUAUCAAAAGAAUAUAAUUACAGUGUGUGAAUAUUAAAUUAAAAUGCGUUUAAGUCAUGUACAUUGAAUAAAAAUCAGUUCUGAGAAAAAAAAGUUUAUUAUUAAAUCCGUAAGCGGUAACACGCUCCGCCACAAUUUAAUUGUGAAAAUAUUUCAACUUACCUCUCAAGUCUCAACCGCAUUAAAACCCCACCACCCUUCUUAGCCUAAGAUCCACACCACCCGUAUCGCCCUGUUACCAUCCCUUAAACUUAUCCUUCAACUCAUAUAUCUUUCUCCUUAAUUCUUCACAUUGAUCUCCAGUACUCUCAUCGAGAUUUACCUCUAAUUUAUUGAUAGCAAAAAAUACAUUAAUCUAAGAUGAACAAUUUGUUUUAUAAUUUGACAAAUAAAGGGAAGCUAUAUCCUUUAUUGCCAUUCAGGGGCGGAUCUACACAUAAUUUUUGGGUGUUCCAGCACCCACUAAAUUCGAUGUGGAAUAAAUAUAAUUACUUAAAAAAAUAUACAAAAAUAGGUAUAAAUUAUAUAAAUGCAUCCACUAAACAAGAAGUUGGUUAGGUGUACUGGCAUUUAGAUUGAUCUAAGUGGUUAGGUGUACUGACAUUUAAAUUGAUCUAAGGCUCUCCAUUGGUAGGUAUGCUUGGGUUCAAACCUGGAUAAGGUGAUUUUUUAUUUUUUUUCUAUAAUAAGCACCCACACUUCUUAAAUCUUGAGUUUGUCACUGUCGUCAUUCCAUCAAAGCAUGGUAAACCAUUAAAAUAACCUCAACCUCCACAUCCAAGUGCUGACGAUCCUCCACAUCUAAGUGUUGACGAUCCUUGUUGCACUCGUCAUGGACAAUUUCACCAACUUUACCAAUCAUAUCAUGAAUAACAAGGUGACGAUAUUUCUGAUCAAACACCUCAUCGCUGUUGUUGAGAUUAUCUUGCAUGGCACCAUAGACGAACGUGUCGAAUGGGAUGCCUGAUCAUCAAGGGAAUAACAAAGAUGAGUGAUUUGGUCUGAGAAUGCUCGUGUUCACAUCCGUCAAGAUUAGAAAAAUCAUUGGAGAUAAAUAGAGAGCUAAAAAUUAAUGGCUAAUGUGGGAGGAGAAUAUCAGAGGUGACUCAAGAGUAAGGCUAGUAAAGUGUUUGUUUUAGGCCAUCAGAAUUUUGAAGCCUCAAGAAAUUUAAUAGUAAAUUUUAUGAUUUCAACUCACUUGAAAUAAUAAUGUAAAUUUUGAAAUACUUUUAAAAAAUCAUUAAACGGAAAGAAA